rnacentral:rRNA from 1 species
UACGUAGGGUGCGAGCGUUAAUCGGAAUUACUGGGCGUAAAGCGUGCGCAGGCGGCUUCGCAAGUCAGGCGUGAAAUCCCCGGGCUUAACCUGGGAAUUGCGCUUGAAACUACGGUGCUGGAGUGCGGCAGAGGAAGGUGGAAUUCCACGUGUAGCGGUGAAAUGCGUAGAGAUGUGGAGGAACACCAAUGGCGAAGGCAGCCUUCUGGGUCGACACUGACGCUCAUGCACGAAAGCGUGGGGAGCAAACAGG